rnacentral:rRNA from 1 species
CAGCACCGCGGUAAUACGGAGGGUGCAAGCGUUAAUCGGAAUUACUGGGCGUAAAGCGCACGCAGGCGGUCUGACAAGUCAGAUGUGAAAUCCCCGGGCUUAACCUGGGAACUGCAUUUGAAACUGUCAGGCUGGAGUCUUGUAGAGGGGGGUAGAAUUCCAGGUGUAGCGGUGAAAUGCGUAGAGAUCUGGAGGAAUACCGGUGGCGAAGGCGGCCCCCUGGACAAAGACUGACGCUCAGGUGCGAAAGCGUGGGGAGCAAACAGGAUUAGAUACCCCAGUAGUCCCUGUCUCUUAUACC